GAGGGUAAGAUAUUCCACACGCUCUAGAGAGAGACUGAUCAGUUGCAAGAGUUAAUGACCUCCACGGACAGGUCACCGGAACCGACUCCGGCGAAGGGUCCAGAACUAACUCCGGGAAAGGCGAUGGAGUUGGCAGCACAUGAUCGAUAAGGGUGCGAUGAUGAUACUGGAGCCCAUAAAGACGCGUGUUCUUUCUCAAAACUCAAUAUCUGAUUCUUGGUGUGGAGUAUAUUGUUUCUGAUGAUAUCUUUGAAACUAUGCCACCGGAGGAACAGAAACUUUGGCAUUCUCAUGCUUAUGAGGUCAAAUCGGGUCUCUGGGUGAACCCCAGAGUUCCAGAGCUUAUUGGGAAACCGGAACUCGAAAACCUAGCCAAAACUUACGGCAAAUUCUGGUGUACGUGGUAGGCUGACAGAGUUGGUGAAAAUUAUAAAUGCAGGGGACAGGCUUCCUAUGGGUGCACCUGCGCUGAUGAUGUCUCCACAAGCAGUAAGUCCUGGUUUGGUGAGGGCAGAGCUGGUGCAUGAGAGGGAUGCCAAGUAUUUCCUCAGAGAGCCUGAAAAGCUCAAGGGUGGAGAUUCCUGAUCCAGAGAUGACCAAUUUCUUGAUUCUUUCUUGUUCUUUUUUUUGGGCAAUUAAUUUUUGUUGUUCUUUUUUUGGGCAAUUAAUUUUUGUUGUUCUUUCUUGAUUU